GCACCCGUAGCUCAAUUGGAUAGAGCGUUAGCCUCCGGAGCUAAAGGUUAUAGGUUCAAAUCCUAUCGGGUGUA
rnacentral:tRNA from 1 species